AGCGAACGCUGGCGGCAGGCCUAACAUAUGCAAGUCGAACGAAGUCUUCGGACUUAGUGGCGGACGGGUGAGUAACACGUGGGAACGUACCUUUUGGUUCGGAACAACUCAGGGAAACUUGAGCUAAUACCGAAUGUGCCCUUAGGGGGAAAGAUUUAUCGCCAUUAGAGCGGCCCGCGUUAGAUUCGCUAGUUGGUGGGGUAAAGGCCCACCAAGGCUACGAUCUAUAGCUGGUCUGAGAGGAUGAUCAGCCACACUGGGACUGAGACACGGCCCAGACUCCUACGGGAGGCAGCAGUGGGGAAUCUUGCGUAAUGGGCGAAAGCCUGACGCAGCCAUGCCGCGUGAAUGAUGAAGGUCUUAGGAUUGUAAAAUUCUUUCAGUAGGGACGAUAAUGACGGUACCUACAGAAGAAGCCCCGGCUAACUUCGUGCCAGCCGCCGCAGUAA
rnacentral:rRNA from 1 species